ACUUCCAUUCCUCUCAUUUCCUUAUUUGAAAAUAAACAUGCUAUUAUAGUAACAUUAGCCAUUAGGAAAGGCAUAAUGGGGGAGUUAUUUCCAUAAGUGCUCAACCAUCCACAUCUCACUUAGAAGCAACCAAUUAGUAGAAGUAGAACAACAUUUUAAUUCAGAAGCAAACUAUUUUAUCUUAGAUUUUACAAAUGCAUGUUAAUGUUCCACAGUUUUUGCUUACAAAUUCAAUUAAACAAUUUACACACCCCCAUACAACCCAGCAAGAUUGAUUGUUGAGAGUUUCAUUGUCAUGAAAACCAUGAAGUGGUUUUCAACAUGUAAAACCGAAACCCACCAAUGUCUUAGAGAAUUUCAUUGUCAGGUAACCAUGCAACUGCAGUUCUGUCGUCUUCAAGUCCUGCAAAUAAACAAAUAAAAUCAGUCAUACACUUACAGAAUACCUUCAAUUGUUCAUCAUCAAAUUCAAGAAACAUGAGAGCGAGCUCACAUUUGUGAAGCAGUCACAACCUACACCUAAUAGCUGCUCAAGGGCAUUCACAGACAUAAACGGAGGUGAAAGAAUUGGCAGGAGAUGAUCCUAAAAUCUCAGAUUAAGGGACCUCAAUGCCUAGACAUAAUAUUCAUCAUUUAUAGAAUUACAAGCUGAUAAUUAGGUAUAAGCUUUGGAUGCUUAACUACUAACAGUUUUGUAGGUUCAUUUCAUUGUGAGGAAAACCAGAAGCAAGAAAUGGUCCUGCAGAACUCAUUCUUUUUUGUGCUUUAAGAGCCAUGGAAUGAUACCAAGUUUUACACUCAAAAGGAGGAAAGCAACCUUAUCCUUUUACCUUACACAUCCUUUUCGAAUAUCUUGCAACACUGUUUCCCCCCCCCCCNNNNNNNNNNNNNNNNNNNNNNNNNNNNNNNNNNNNNNNNNNNNNNNNNNNNNNNNNNNNNNNNNNNNNNNNNNNNNNNNNNNNNNNNNNNNNNNNNNNNAGGAAAGAUCACAAAAACUUCUUCGCGUUCUCAUCACCAUUGAACAAAAUGAAUACUAUUUGUCUAUUUGGUUGACACUCCAACUAAACUUCUUCCACCCUUUUCUAUGCUUUACUCGACCUCACCAAGUCUUCAUCUCUGCAACAAAUUUCCACCCUUUCAAACAAGUAGUCUAAGUUCAAAUCCUCAAACUAAUCCAGAUUGAAAAACCUCUCCCACUUUUCUCAAUAAUGCCUCUCAACUUCCCCUACCACUUCUACCGAAAGAUCAAAGGACUUCGAGUUCAUUACAAACUAUUGACCUCCCUCCCCAAAAUUUCACCCUUACUAACAUUUCAUCUCAUGAUCAAUUUACUAACAGAAGGGUAAAGGCAACUAGGCAAUUAUAUUGGGCUAAAGAGGAAACAAAAUAUAAAUAUAAUUAUUUAUUUUUAAACAUUCAAAUAUUUAAUAAUUAUUUUUAAUGCAAGGACAAUUCCCUUUCCAGGUAUCAUAAUAUUCCUCUAGUGUGUGAGAGGAAAGCCAUUCCUCUUGAAGAAACUAGAAAACAAAGAAAAUCACUUCCAUUCCUUUCAUUUCCUUAUUUGAAAAUAAACAUGCUAUUAUAGUAAAAGGCAUAAUGAGGGAGUUAUUUCCUUAAGUGCUCAACCAUCCACAUCUCACUUAGAAGCAACCAAUUAGUAGAAGUAGAACAACAUUUUAAUUCAGAAGCAAACUAUUUUAUCUUAGAUUUUACAAAUGCAUGUUAAUGUUCCACAGUUUUUGCUUACAAAUUCAAUUAAGCAAUUUACACACCCCCAUACAACCCAGCAAGAUUGAUUGUUGAGAGUUUCAUUGUCAUGAAAACCAUGAAGUGGUUUUCAACAUGUAAAACUGAAACCCACCAAUGUCUUAGAGAAUUUCAUUGUCAGGUAACCAUGCAACUGCAGUUCUGUCGUCUUCAAGUCCUGCAAAUAAACAAAUAAAAUCAGUCAUACACUUACAGAAUACCUUCAAUUGUUCAUCAUCAAAUUCAAGAAACAUGAGAGCGAGCUCACAUUUGUGAAGCAGUCACAACUUACACCUAAUAGCUGCUCAAGGGCAUUCACAGACAUAAACGGAGGUGAAAGAAUUGGCAGGAGAUGAUCC
rnacentral:lncRNA from 1 species